AACACAUGCAAGUCGAACGAGAAAGCAGGGCAACUCUUGAGUAAAGUGGCGACCGGGUGAGUAACACGUAGCUAACCUACCCUCGAGCGGGGGAUAACCUGGGGAAACCUGGGCUAAUACCGCAUAAUAUCCCGAUGUCCAUGACAAUGGGAGCAAAGGCCCGCAAGGGUCACUGGAGGAGGGGGCUGCGGACGAUUAGCUAGUUGGUGAGGUAAUGGCUCACCAAGGCUAUGAUCGUUAGCCGGCCUGAGAGGGCGCACGGCCACACUGGCACUGACACACGGGCCAGACUCCUACGGGAGGCAGCAGUGGGGAAUUUUGCACAAUGCCCGAAAGGGUGAUGCAGCAACGCCGCGUGAGGGAUGAAGGCCUUCGGGUCGUAAACCUCUUUCGAUCGGGAAAAAU
rnacentral:rRNA from 1 species